rnacentral:rRNA from 1 species
UGAACGCUGGCGGUAGGCCUACCACAUGCAAGUCGCACGGCAGCACAGUAAGAGCUUGCUCUUACGGGUGGCGAGUGGCGGACGGGUGAGGAAUACAUCGGAAUCUACUUUUUCGUGGGGGAUAACGUAGGGAAACUUACGCUAAUACCGCAUACGACCUACGGGUGAAAGCAGGGGAUCUUCGGACCUUGCGCGAUUGAAUGAGCCGAUGUCGGAUUAGCUAGUUGGCGGGGUAAAGGCCCACCAAGGCGAUGAUCCGUAGCUGGUCUGAGAGGAUGAUCAGCCACACUGGAACUGAGACACGGUCCAGACUCCUACGGGAGGCAGCAGUGGGGAAUAUUGGACAAUGGGCGCAAGCCUGAUCCAGCCAUACCGCGUGGGUGAAGAAGGCCUUCGGGUUGUAAAGCCCUUUUGUUGGGAAAGAAAAGCAGCAGGUUAAUACCCCGCUGUUCUGACGGUACCCAAAGAAUAAGCACCGGCUAACUUCGUG